UUAAGCGACUAAGCGUACACGGUGGAUGCCCUGGCAGUCAGAGGCGAUGAAGGACGUGCUAAUCUGCGAAAAGCGUCGGUAAGGUGAUAUGAACCGUUACAGCCGGCGAUGUCCGAAUGGGGAAACCCAGUGUGAUUCGUCACACUAUCGUUAACUGAAUACAUAGGUUAACGAGGCGAACCGGGGGAACUGAAACAUCUAAGUACCCCGAGGAAAAGAAAUCAACCGAGAUUCCCCCAGUAGCGGCGAGCGAACGGGGAGCAGCCCAGAGUCUGAAUCAGCUUGUGUGUUAGUGGAACGGUCUGGAAAGUCCGACGGUACAGGGUGAUAGUCCCGUACACCAAAAUGCACAGGCUGUGAACUCAAAGAGUAGGGCGGGACACGUGGUAUCCUGUCUGAAUAUGGGGGGACCAUCCUCCAAGGCUAAAUACUCCUGACUGACCGAUAGUGAACCAGUACCGUGAGGGAAAGGCGAAAAGAACCCCGGCGAGGGGAGUGAAAAAGAACCUGAAACCGUGUACGUACAAGCAGUGGGAGCACCUUCGGGUGUGACUGCGUACCUUUUGUAUAAUGGGUCAGCGACUUAUAUUCUGUAGCAAGGUUAACCGUAUAGGGGAGCCGCAGGGAAACCGAGUCUUAACUGGGCGUUAAGUUGCAGGGUAUAGACCCGAAACCCGGUGAUCUAGCCAUGGGCAGGUUGAAGGUUGGGUAACACUAACUGGAGGACCGAACCGACUAAUGUUGAAAAAUUAGCGGAUGACUUGUGGCUGGGGGUGAAAGGCCAAUCAAACCGGGAGAUAGCUGGUUCUCCCCGAAAGCUAUUUAGGUAGCGCCUCGUGAAUUCAUCUUCGGGGGUAGAGCACUGUUUCGGCUAGGGGGUCAUCCCGACUUACCAACCCGAUGCAAACUACGAAUACCGAAGAAUGUUAUCACGGGAGACACACGGCGGGUGCUAACGUCCGUCGUGAAGAGGGAAACAACCCAGACCGCCAGCUAAGGUCCCAAAGUCACAGUUAAGUGGGAAACGAUGUGGGAAGGCACAGACAGCCAGGAUGUUGGCUUAGAAGCAGCCAUCAUUUAAAGAAAGCGUAAUAGCUCACUGGUCGAGUCGGCCUGCGCGGAAGAUGUAACGGGGCUAAACUGUGCACCGAAGCUGCGGCAGCGACACUAUGUGUUGUUGGGUAGGGGAGCGUUCUGUAAGCCUGCGAAGGUGGCCUGUGAGGGUUGCUGGAGGUAUCAGAAGUGCGAAUGCUGACAUAAGUAACGAUAAUGCGGGUGAAAAGCCCGCACGCCGGAAGACCAAGGGUUCCUGUCCAACGUUAAUCGGGGCAGGGUGAGUCGACCCCUAAGGCGAGGCCGAAAGGCGUAGUCGAUGGGAAACAGGUUAAUAUUCCUGUACUUGGUGUUACUGCGAAGGGGGGACGGAGAAGGCUAUGUUAGCCGGGCGACGGUUGUCCCGGUUUAAGCAUGUAGGCGGAGGUUCCAGGUAAAUCCGGUACCUUUUUAACGCUGAGGUGUGAUGACGAGGCACUACGGUGCUGAAGUAACAAAUGCCCUGCUUCCAGGAAAAGCCUCUAAGCAUCAGGUAACAUUAAAUCGUACCCCAAACCGACACAGGUGGUCAGGUAGAGAAUACCAAGGCGCUUGAGAGAACUCGGGUGAAGGAACUAGGCAAAAUGGUGCCGUAACUUCGGGAGAAGGCACGCUGAUAUGUAGGUGAAGCCCCUGCGGGUGGAGCUGAAAUCAGUCGAAGAUACCAGCUGGCUGCAACUGUUUAUUAAAAACACAGCACUGUGCAAACACGAAAGUGGACGUAUACGGUGUGACGCCUGCCCGGUGCCGGAAGGUUAAUUGAUGGGGUUAUCCGUAAGGAGAAGCUCUUGAUCGAAGCCCCGGUAAACGGCGGCCGUAACUAUAACGGUCCUAAGGUAGCGAAAUUCCUUGUCGGGUAAGUUCCGACCUGCACGAAUGGCGUAAUGAUGGCCAGGCUGUCUCCACCCGAGACUCAGUGAAAUUGAACUCGCUGUGAAGAUGCAGUGUACCCGCGGCAAGACGGAAAGACCCCGUGAACCUUUACUAUAGCUUGACACUGAACAUUGAGCCUUGAUGUGUAGGAUAGGUGGGAGGCUUUGAAGCGUGGACGCCAGUCUGCGUGGAGCCAACCUUGAAAUACCACCCUUUAAUGUUUGAUGUUCUAACGUUGGCCCCUGACCGGGGUUGCGGACAGUGUCUGGUGGGUAGUUUGACUGGGGCGGUCUCCUCCCAAAGAGUAACGGAGGAGCACGAAGGUUAGCUAAUCCUGGUCGGACAUCAGGAGGUUAGUGCAAUGGCAUAAGCUAGCUUGACUGCGAGCGUGACGGCGCGAGCAGGUGCGAAAGCAGGUCAUAGUGAUCCGGUGGUUCUGAAUGGAAGGGCCAUCGCUCAACGGAUAAAAGGUACUCCGGGGAUAACAGGCUGAUACCGCCCAAGAGUUCAUAUCGACGGCGGUGUUUGGCACCUCGAUGUCGGCUCAUCACAUCCUGGGGCUGAAGUAGGUCCCAAGGGUAUGGCUGUUCGCCAUUUAAAGUGGUACGCGAGCUGGGUUUAGAACGUCGUGAGACAGUUCGGUCCCUAUCUGCCGUGGGCGCUGGAGAAUUGAGGGGGGCUGCUCCUAGUACGAGAGGACCGGAGUGGACGCAUCACUGGUGUUCGGGUUGUCAUGCCAAUGGCAUUGCCCGGUAGCUAAAUGCGGAAGAUAUAAGUGCUGAAAGCAUCUAAGCACGAAACUUGCCCCGAGAUGAGUUCUCCCUGACUCCUUGAGAGUCCUGAAGGAACGUUAAAGACGAUGACGUUGAUAGGUCGGGUGUGUAAGCGUAGCGAUACGUUGAGCUAACCGAUACUAAUGAACCGUGAGGCUUAACCUU
rnacentral:rRNA from 1 species